rnacentral:lncRNA from 1 species
CGAGGGAGGUGCUGCUAUCCUCCCCCUUUACAGGGGGCAGGAAACUGAGCAUCACACUUUUGGCUUUAACAGCAAGACACUGCCUCUGCGUCCCACCUGCCCGUGAGGUGGAGAAUUCCCUACACAGGAUAUGGGUUCAGAUGCUGGGUAGGCAAAGAAUGGCCAAUGGCCACCGCACCUGUCCUGUCCGGAGAGGGCAGGAUGCCUCCCCUGUGAUGGGUUUUAUCAAAUUUCUCUUGAAAUUCCUUUUUUUUUUUUUUUUUUCUUUCAGAGACAGGGUCUUGCUCUGUCCCCCAGGCUGCAGUGCAGGUGCGAUCUUAGCUCACUGCAGUCUGGAAUUCCUGGGCUCAAGCCGUCCUCUGGCCUCAGCCUUCGGAGUAGCUAGGACCACAGGUGCCACCACCACGCCCAGCCCGAUUUCUCCAGUUUUGUGUGGUCUAGUUCUAUUCCGCACUGCUCAGCACACAAAGGCUUUUGUGUCUGCUGAACCUUUGGAAGGCACAGGACAUUUUUGUCCCUUUAUAAACUCAAAGCAUGAUCCUAUCUAUGUUUAAAAAGCAGACGCGGACAGCGGCGGACAUGAGGAAAGGCCAGAGGCAGCAGCCAGCCCAUCUCAGGCCCGUCACCGUGGAAGCAGCGGCCGGAGGAGCCACAGAAAGCAAAACUCCCAAAGCCGCCCACGUACUUCGGGUCUUAGCUUGGAUCUCCUGGAGACAGGCCCUGCGAAGGAGCUGGGCUGGGAGCAGGUUUAUCAGGGCGUGAUCUUAGGAGGCAGAUGUAGGAGGUGAGGAAGGCAGGGUGUGUAGAGUGCAGCUGACCCAACCGGCCCGGCCGACCCACAGGACGCCCUGGGCUGAGACGCUGUCAGCACUGCCCCAGGCUGAGACCACCUUGGGAGGGGUGUAACCUUGUGCAGGGGGGCUCUCUGCAGCGGAGGGCAGUCCUGGGGAGGACACGGCUGAGGACACAUGCAGUGACGUCCCAGCGUUCCCAGCAGUGGGGAGGGUCGGGGGGGCAUCCAGUGCCCACGACACUCAUGAACACAAAAACCAACCAGAGAAAACCCAGUCUCCAGCAAAGAGCCGAGUGCUGAGUGUGCAGCGUUCUCCGCCUGUCUCUCCCCCUUUCGCACCUCUAUCCCAGGCAGGCCCUCCCUGGCCUUGCCACCAUGCCGGACCACCGUGUGGACCCUGUGCUCACCCAGGCCUCACCUUUCAGCCCCCUAAGCUGGGCCCAAAGCAGCAGACUGUGUUAUGGAGGGUGCUGUGGCUCACGGCCCCCACCCCCUGCUAGGCAGAGUUGCCGGGUAAAAGACAGGAUAACCAAUUAAAUUAGAACGUCAGAGAAACACAGUGAUUUUUCUUUUUUUCUUUUCUUUUUUUUUUUUUUUUGAGACGGAGUCUCACUCUGUCACCCAGGCUGGAGUGCAGUGGCGCAAUCUCGGUUCACUGCAAGCUCCGCCUCCC